UCCUUUCCUCUACUCUCCUCCCUCCCGCUCUGACUGUGAGAAUGCCCGUGCUGUACUGACAGAAACGAUACGGGCUUAGCAGACAUGGAGGCCCGAUUAAUGAGAGAGGCCCAUUCCGACGCGUCUGAGCUCGACUAACGCGGACCCGGAGAGGGAUUCGGGCGUCACAUCGGAUUAUCACGGCGAUUUCAAGAUAAACAUCCGAGCGACCAUGCUGUUGCGUAGGAAGGGAGGAUUUUGAUCGCAAAUUAUGUGAACGCCGUUCUGGACCGCUAUUAAGUUUGAAGGUGAGAGGGCUGGGCACUUGGGAAGGGACGACAUUGCUUCAACCCAACAAGGAUAUUUUUACAACCUCUGCUUUUCCCCCCUUCCCCUCCAUUCCACUUCUUUCUUCCUACCUGACAUCUGCACAGUUCUCCAGUACCUACCUAUACCUGCGAGUGAGAACAUCCUGUCCCACUCAAGCCCCCCUUGUUCCCCAAAUCACCAAUGGAUCAGAGGACACAGGGGGGGCCCUCUACACCGCCCCCGCUCCCUGUCAAUGUCCCUCCAGCAGAACGCGAGAACGAGGGAGUAGGAGGAAAGAAGGACGAUGAAGAGGAAAAGAAAAAACAAGAGAAACCAAGAGAUGGGGUACAAAGUGAAACUUGUGCUGCUGAAAGUGGGACAAGUGACCAGCAACAGCAGCAAUCUGCACAGUUCUCGGUCAAAGAAACCAGUUACUCUGAGGGAAAUGUCAAGCUCAAGAUAGGCCUACAGGCCAAGCGCAUGAAGAAGCCUCCUAAGAUACUGGAGAACUAUGUCUGUCGUCCAGCCUUCCGAGCCACUGUAAGGCAUAGUGGAGGACGAGGCGGAGGACGUGUUAAUCGUGGGGCUGGAGCCAGUGAUGGGAGCAACCACACUUCUAGCCCAAGUCGUGGAAAAGGAGAGAAAAGCCCCUCUGUCAGCCGAGGAGCAUCUCUAUCAUCUAGUGCUCCUGCUGCUGCAUCUCCCUCACCUUCUCUCCCUCCUCCCAUUUCCACCAGCCCAGUAACUCCUGUGAAUGGAAGUGCUCCAGCAAAAAAGGCUCCUCAAAAACUUGCCUGUAAGUCAGAGGGAAAGGCUGAUGUAAAAUCCGUUGCUUCUUCAGAGAGUCCCCUUAAUCUUCAUCGCCCCAUGACAGAAAGCAAAUCACCCUCCUCUGGAAAGAAAAACCAGCUUCCACAAACCAACUCUGCUUCUACCCCAUCGCCACCGACAAUGCCCCCAGCUACCACAUUGCAACAGGACCCCAAAACAGAUGGGAUCUUAAAAACUCAAUACAAUUUUACUGAGGGGCAGAAGGAACAAGACAGGGGAAUUUCUGCCUGGGGUACUCCUACAGUAACUGAGAAGCUUGCUCAGCUCAUAGCUACAUGUCCGCCGUCAAAGUGCCCUAAGCCAAAAGCCCGAAAGGUGUCACCAGCUCCAGCACACAGUAGCUCGCCUCCCUUAAUUUCUAAUCUGCAGCACCCUGAACGGGCUAUGGCCAAUAGGAACACCUAUUCCAGGGCGGUGCACCUUGCCCCACCACCGGUUUCACGGCCCCCAGGUCGCCCAUAUGGGUCCAAAAAUAAAGACAGUAUUCUGGAGACAUUUUCUGGCACCUCUAGAAAAGAGGAAUCAGAUGGACUUUCAAAAGGGAUCACCAGUAGCAACAGCAGCACAACCACCACCACCACUAGUACUGCACUGUCUCAAAACAGUAGUCACUUGACGACAUCCACAACUGAUAGCACUGACAACAGUACCACCAAUGGAAUGGAAUCUGAAUCUCGUCUUGGGCAUUGCCCAUCUCAUUCUUCCUCCACGGCUUCUCUUUCAUCACCACCACCAUCUUCCUCUUCUUCAUCCUUCUCCUUAGAAAGAAUAGGAAGUACAGGCUGUCACAUGUGUUUGCCAGGCUCACUAGCCUCACGGCCUAGAGCAAGCCCCUCCCGGAUAGAGGAGUUUACUGAGAAAGACAAAGAGCGUGGCCGAGACAAAGACACAGACAGUCCCAGAGAUUUAAGUAAGGGCUCUACUUCAGCUAUGCCAGGGAAGCAAGAUACUAAAGAAAGGUGUUCUUUGUCAACUCCUCGAAGUGAGAGGGGUAAGAGCUCAAGUCCAGUCAAACGUAGUCCCAAUCAGGAAAGUCGUGGUAGUGGGGUACCAAGUCCUGCUGAGUCCACCAAAUGCACUAUUUCACCUUCAUACCCUUCUGGUGCCAGCAGGAGCCCACCACAACUAUGUGAUGACACUGGGGCUCUAUCUCCUGCAUCACCAGCUGAGCAGGAUUCAAAGCCUCUUAAGAAGCGGCGAGGACGACGGCCUCGCUGGACGAAGGCAGUGAGUCGCACCCACAAGACUUCACAUGAGGCUGCUUCUAACCAUCAGAAACCAAUGCCAUCAGGGCUUUCCUCCUCAUCCCCUACUCGGCAACCUGUGGAAUGGACUCCUUCUGGUAAUCGGAUGUCCCCUGUUGCUUCAGAAUUUUUUGAUUCUUCACCCAAGAAGAGGGGACGGCCCAAGUCCAAAAUGCCUCGGUUAGAUGCACCAGCCCGUGGCCGAACCCCAAACAAACUGGUACCCUCAAAAGUCUUCUCUAGUCUGCUCAAAUCUAAAGAAGAGCAGGAUCCCCCUAUUUUGCACCCUGAAGUGGACUUUAAUCCACCUAAACCCAUGCAAAGAAAGCGUGGACGUCCCAAGCGCUCACCGCCAACACUUCCACAAGAAACCCAGCCCCCAACACUUGCUCCUGAGUCGGGGGGUGCUUCAGUAGGUGAAAAACCUUUUCGUAAUAAGGGCAAUGGGCAGCUCAUUAUGAAGACAAUUAUAGGCAAAAUUAAUAAGAUGAAGACAGUAAAACGGAAAAGGCUCCUCAGCCAAAUACUGCUUGGGCCGAAACCAGGGACUGAGCAGGAAAGGUCCAGAAGCAGUGGAGUGCCAGGGGCUGCGGCUGCUACAAAACCACAGUCUCUAUCAUCACUUGCUGCUACAUUUGGGGGCAAAUUAGGACCCCAGAUCAACGUUAGCAAAAAGGGGACAAUAUAUAUGGGUAAAAGGAGGGGUCGUAAGCCAAAAACAUCAGCUAAUCCCUCCCCAGGUGCCCCCACACCCCCUCCUGAACCUUUCUUGUCACCAAACACUUCGUCCCCACACCAUCAUCACCAGUCACAGGCCUUACAAAACCAGCAACACCACUUGCCUCCAUCUGAGGUGUUCCCUUCGCCUUCACUCUCGCAGUCAAGUGGAGGCCAGAGUCCCAUUAGUGAUGCCAGCUUUGUUGAGCCUGGCUCAGUGCAUUUCUCAUCCCACCCACACUGCAGCCAUUCCCAUCAGGGCCACCACUCAUUUUCCUUUCCUCCACCUACUUUUUCAGCCCCCUCUGCUCGCACUGUAGCAGGCUCCUCAUCAUCCACAGCAAACCCAUCUCAAAAGAAAUCAUCUUGCCGGGGUUACCACCAUCACCACCACCACUACCGGCAGCACUACCAUUAUCGAAAAAUUUCUCCUCCAAGGCCACUAUUGCACACGUCUCCUGCUCCACUCAGUGAGCUGAAGGAGGCCACACCUUCCCCAGUCAGUGAAUCACACAGCGAAGAGACAGUACCCAGUGACAGUGGCAUUGGGACAGACAACAACAGCACCUCAGACCGUGGGGAAAAGGCUGGUAGUGCAAGUGGCUUAGCUGGUGUAGGGGUCUCACAGGGUAUGGCAAGUGGACUCUUAAUGCCUGGUGUCAUAGGUCCAGCCAUAGGAGCUGGAAUGGGGCUUUCUUCGAGAGGUAGAAGGAGGCACUCAUCUUCAGUUCUCUUGGAACGUCCCUCACCUACACCCUCCCCACUUGGAGCGAGGGCAUCACCUGAUACAAGAAGACCGCACCCAGCUGCCCCAUCUCCUGCUUUGGUUGGACAUAAAGAGAAGCACAAGCAUAAGUGCAAACGCCGUGGACAUGGCUGUCCUAGCUAUGACAAACUAAAAAGGCAAAAGCGAAAACGCAAGAAGAAGUACCUGCAGCUGCGGUCACGUCGACAAGACCCAGACUUCUUGGCUGAUUUGGAUGAGAUCUGUGUGCAGCUCAGCGAUAUACGAAUUGGUCAUCGCACACCAACACUUCGUUUGGGUAGCAGUUUGGGUCUGGGUGCUGGGGCAGCAGGCCCGGGCCGUGGGUCUGCCUUGGGAAGUGCCAGAGCCAGCAGCAGCCUUGGAGGUGGAACCAAUCCACCACCCCAUCACUAUAUACACCGAGAUCUCUUGCCCACCAUCUUCAGGAUAAAUUUUAGCGGAUAUUAUUCACCCCACCCAGCCUACCCAUGUGAUUCACUUCAUUAUGUCCGUAAGCCAGAUCUUAAAAAGAAAAGAGGGCGACCACCUAAGCUCAGAGAAUCUAUAUCAGAAGUACCUUUUGUACCUGGGUUAGGCUUUCCCCUCUCCAGUGGAGGUUUCUAUCACCCCUCUUAUGGUGUUCCAUAUUCUUCUACCCCACUGGGACUUGGCUACUAUCGUGGUUAUACCCCAGCAAGUGCCCUGUACCCCCACCCUCAUCACCAGGCUCCUCACUCUGGCCCAUCCCACCAUGUUCAUUCUCCUUCUUUUCCUCCACCUCCGCCCCCUUCUUAUGUCCAUCAUCAUCACCCCUCCCACUUGCUUCUUAACUCUUCCAAAUUUCACAAGAAGAAACAUAAGCUGCUUAGGCAGGAGUAUCUAGGUGGUGGUCGUUCAUCAGUACUAUAUCCUGCAAUGUCGUCCGAGCUGUCAUUUGGCUGGCACCACAAACACAAGCAUAGGCACAAGCACCGUGAUCGCGGUGGAGAAGAGGAGGGUGAUGAUGUUGGUGAAGUUGUAGGUAACAUUGGAGGCAGAAGUGGAGGAGGUGAGGGGUUGGGGGUCGGAAGAGGGGAGCGAGGGAGUGUAGAGUCCCUGCAGCGUUGCCGGUUCAGGCGAGAUGGUUCUGGUGACUCCAGUGCUAACAAACUGGCAGCUUCUGCCAACUCCCCUUCCUCUUCCUCCUCGUCUUCUGCAGAACGGUACAAGCGAAAAGAAGCUUCUAUGUCUUGUCUUGGACCUUCGCGACUGUCUUUGGGCAGCGUGAGCCAGGGACAUCAUCCUGUUGACUCCUGGUUCAGGAUGGGAAGUUCUGAUACUGAUUACUCCAAACUCUCUAGAAACCAGUCCCUUUCUGGGUCUGGUGCAUUCUCUGAAGGACAUGUGCAAAAUACAGUGGAGUGCUCGGAGAGUGAUGAAGAAGAUCCUGCUUCCCCCAUUGAGGAGGCAGAGACCAGCCACCACACCAACUUGUUCACAUCUGCACUAUCUCGAACCUCCCUCAAAGGGAGUCGUAGCAAAAAAGGUAGAACAUCAGAGAGCACCAGUGUGUCACGGUUGGAUCAGACAGUGAGAAGAGAUCGUUCCAAAUCUGCAGAGAGAAGAGAGAUGGGAAAUGUGUCCGGCACGCAGAACCGAGUUGGCCAAUCCAUUGUUCCAGAGGUUUCUGAGGGUCCCCAUCAUCGGCACCACCAUCACCACCACCCUCCUCUGUCCCUCUCACACUCUGCCUCUUGCCUUUCUCACUGCACUCUUGAUCACCGCCAGGCUAGUCCCUCCACAUACUCCUCCCAGCCUGCAUGCUGCCGUGACUCCCCCCCUUCACAUCACUCCCAUCGGCCCCCUCCCAAAAAUAACCUGCACCAUGUCAACAAGAUCCUCCGUGCAAAGAAGCUCCAGAGGCAAGCACGCACAGGAAACAACAUGGUGAAAAAACGAGGUCCAGGCCGUCCCCGCAAGCACCCGCUGCCCUCGCCUCCCCCGUCGCCCCCACCACAGACAUCUGAACAGGAGAACCAUCCUUUACCUGAAAGGCACAGAGGAAGUGUUCUGUGGGAGGAAGACACCGUGGUUGACGUCAUUGAGUCUGUAAUACAGAGUCAGCGCAGAAAGGGACGCAAGAGAAAACGCUGGGAAAGGGAGACAGAAGGAGUUGAUGAGGAAGACAAGGAACCAGAGGAGGAAAGAGAGGUGGAGGAAGAAGAAGAACGACCAGCUGCUAGAGAGGAGGAUGUGAUGGCGAGAGCAAGAAUAGAAGGAGGGAGGGGAUGGUUGACGCCGGAGGACAUGCAAUGUUUUCGCAGUGCACUGGAGGGAAAACCUGAUGGCCAGUCAUCCCCUGAGCGCACAGGCCCUACUUCCCUGGAACAAGCCCCAAACCCAUCUGUGACCAGUCAACGGGAGAAGAGAGUUGCUAGACCACCCAAAAAGAAGUUUCAAAAGGCGGGGCUUUACUCUGAUGUGUACAAGACUGACGAUCCUCGCAGUCAGCUGCUACAGCUGAAGAAGGAGAAGUUAGAAUACACUCCAGGUGAACUUGAGUAUGGCCUUUUUCCUGCCCCCAUUAAUGUUGGGAAAUAUUUGAGACAGAAACACAUUGAUUUCCAGCUGCCUUAUGACAUCCUGUGGCUUUGGAAACAUGAUCAGCUCUACAAGAGACCUGAUGUGCCUCUCUACAAGAAGAUCAGAUCCAAUGUCUAUGUGGAUGUGAAGCCUCUUUCUGGCUAUGAAGCCACUACCUGUAACUGCAGGGCACCUGAAGAACACUGUGAGAACGGCUGUCAGGAUGACUGUCUAAACAGGAUGAUCUUCGCUGAGUGUUCUCCAAGUACAUGUCCAUGUGGCGAUCAGUGUGAUAACCAGCGUAUCCAGAGGCAUGAGUGGGUGCAGUCCCUCGAACGCUUCCGGGCUGAAGGGAAGGGCUGGGGGAUCCGCACCAAGCAGUCCCUACGUGCCGGCCAAUUCAUCAUCGAGUAUUUGGGAGAAGUGGUCAGCGAACAGGGGUUCAGGAGUCGCAUGAUGGAGCAGUACUUCUCCAACAGUGGCCACUACUGUCUGAAUCUGGACAGCGGCAUGUUCAUCGACAGCUACCACAUGGGCAACGAGGCUCGCUUUAUCAACCACAGCUGCGAGCCCAACUGUGAAAUGCAGAAAUGGUCGGUGAAUGGAGUGUACCGUAUUGGUCUGUUUGCUUUGAAAGACAUCAACAGCGGAACAGAACUGACAUAUGACUACAACUUCCACUCCUUCAACACAGAAGAACAGCAAGUCUGCAAGUGUGGCUCAGAGGGUUGCCGUGGCAUCAUUGGCGGCAAGAGCCAGCGAAUCAAUGGGCUGCCUGGAAAGGGGGGCGGAGCCCGGAGGCUGGGGAGACUGAAAGAGAAACGCAAGUCCAAACACUCACUGAAGAAACGGGAGGAAGAAUCCAGUGACAGCAGCAAGUUUUACCAGCACCUUUUAAUGAAGCCUAUGUCAAACAGAGAGAGAAACUUUGUGCUGAAACAUCGAGUGUUCCUGCUGCGGAAUUGGGAGAAGAUGCGGGAGAAACAGGAACUUCUGAAGCGAGAGGGAGAGCGAGAGAGGGACAACAGUGGUCUUUCUCUUUACACCCGCUGGGGAGGAGUCAUCCGCGAUGACGGCAACAUCAAGUCAGAUGUAUUUCUGACUCAGUUCUCAGCGCUGCAGACGUCACGCUCUGUGCGCACACGCAGACUUGCGGCAGCCGAGGAGAACAUGGAAGUUACACGCACUGCACGCCUGGCACACAUCUUCAAGGAGAUUUGUGACAUGAUCACAAGCUACAAGGAUUCAUCUGGUCAGACUCUCGCUGCUCCGCUGCUUAACUUGCCUUCGAGGAAGAGGAAUGUACAGUACUAUGAGAAGGUCACCGAUCCGCUAGAUCUCAGUACCAUAGAGAAGCAGAUCCUCACUGGACACUACAAAACUGUCGAGGCAUUUGAUGCAGACAUGCUCAAAGUGUUUCGCAAUGCUGAGAAAUAUUAUGGCCGUAAGUCUGCUGUAGGUCGUGAUGUGUGCCGGCUGAGGAAGGCGUACUACGGUGCGCGUCAUGAGGCUGCUGUCCAGAUUGAUGAAAUUGUGGGCGAGACGGCCAGUGAGGCCGACAGCUCUGAUUCGCUGGAGAGAGACCACGCCCACCAUCACCAUGACGGAGGAGGCAGCCAUGACAAAGACGAUGAUGUGAUUCGCUGCAUCUGUGGCAUGUACAAGGAUGAGGGGCUCAUGAUCCAGUGUGAGAAGUGCAUGGUGUGGCAGCACUGUGAUUGUAUGCGUUUGGAGGCGGAUGUGGAGCAUUAUCUCUGUGAGCUGUGUGACCCUCGUCCAGUGGACAGGGAGGUCCCAAUGGUGCCCCAACCCAGCUAUGCCCAGUCAGGAUCCAUCUAUUAUAUAUGCCUGCUUCGUGAUGACUUACUAUUGCAUCAGGGUGACUGUGUGUACCUCAUGAGAGACAGCAGACGCACAACAGAAGGUCAGCCAGUGCGUCAGUCAUACCGCCUCCUGUCUCAUAUCAACAGAGACAAACUGGACAUCUUCCGUAUCGAGAAACUCUGGAAAAAUGAAAAAGGUGAGAGGUUUGCCUUUGGUCAUCACUACUUCCGUCCCCACGAGACGCACCACUCUCCUUCCCGUCGCUUCUAUCAUAACGAGUUGUUCCGAGUGCCUCUCUAUGAGAUCAUACCACUGGAGGCGGUGGUGGGAACGUGCUGUGUGUUGGACCUGUAUACUUACUGCAAGGGUCGUCCAAAAGGGGUAAAGGAACAGGACGUUUACAUCUGUGACUACCGGCUGGAUAAAUCGGCACACCUGUUCUACAAAAUCCACCGCAACCGGUACCCAGUGUGCACCAAGCCCUAUGCGUUCAACCACUUCCCCAAGAGACUGACGCCGAAGAGGGACUUCUCGCCUCACUAUGUGCCGGAUAACUACAAGAGGAAUGGCGGCCGCUCUGCCUGGAAGAGUGAGCGGCCCAAAGGUGCAUCAACGUGCGAUGAAGAGCCCUCCCCCAGCGCAUCAUGUGAUCGACUGUCUGCUGGCUUCUCGAGAGAUGGGGACGAGGACGGAGGGAGAGGAGCAGAGGGAGAGAUGGAGACCACGCAGGAGGACUCCAGCGCCCCUGUAUCCCAGCUAUCCACAUCACAGGAAAGGAGGACAGGUGGGGAGGAAGAAGACAUGGCCGAAGAAGAGGAGGGUGGAGAGAGGGUAGAGAGGAGAGAGACGGAUGAGGGCUCCCGAGAGAGGGGAGGAGGAGGGCGGGAUGCAUUGGACACCCCAUGCUUAUCCUCACUCUCCUCUUUACCUCUUCAUCCAUCAAUCCCGGGAAGAAGAGAAGCACAGAGAGAGCGACUGAACAAGAUUCUGCUCGACCUGCUGCACCGGGCGCCCAGCAAGAAUGCGAUAGAUGUGACGUAUCUUCUCGAGGAAGGCUCUGGUCGCCGCCUCCGCAGACGGACACUUGGAUUGAGUGAAUUUAUUUGCAGGAAGUAAUGCUGACAACACUCUGCCGAGCAGCCUGCAGAGCAGCAAGAGAAUAAUGAAAAUGGAGGAGCAGAGGUGGACUACACCUGGCAACAAGGGGGAAAGCAGCAGUGAAAGGCGACACGUUCAUAUUUAUAUCUUGCAGCUUCUUUUUCUAGAGCUACAAGAGAGACCAGCCAGAGCUUUGUGCACUAAGGACAUGCAAUUUGCUGCAAGUCGUCAACCUUGACACAUUUAAAAAGUAUAAGUGUCAGACAUAGGAAAGUUUAAACUGAAGAAAAAAGGCGACGCUUUGAAAUUAUAACCGAAUUAUUGCAGAUGAACUAUGACUUCACUGGUCAAAUGUGUCCUAUGACUAAGUGGUACUAUAUUUGGCCUUCGUUUCAGGUGCAAAUGGAAAAAUGGGAGUCCGGCGCCACCUUAUGGUCGACAAUGGAAAUGACUUGAGUACAGCCAAGAAAGAAAAUGAGGCAAAAAAAAAGAAUUAGAAGCAUCAUAGGAGGUGCAGUGUAGCGCGCACACACACUGCUCAUAGACUGAGAAAAAGAGAGAAAGUAGAGACCUGAGAAAGAACGUUGGCUAACUGCACUUUUAACAACAACAAGGACAUCGUUCGCUCCCGGAGAUGUACGGAUAAGACACACUAACACUCAUGCAGUAUUGAUCAAUGCUGUAUGAUAAAGCAAAACAUAAAUAUGUUAUCUUCUUUUUCUGUUUGUUUUUUGUUAUACUCUAAUUACAUUAGGAAUGGAGCACGAUGGGGGUAUCCAUAUUUGUGAGCUAGGGACUUCGGGACUGGGCUGGAAUGUUUCGCUUCUGUUAUUGUGGCCAUUGUGAUUGGUUAGAAUGGCUGCCAGCCCCCGCCCCUUUUUAAAAAGUAUUUAAUUCACCAGCUCAAAAAAACAACAAAAAACAAAAUCUAGAAGUGGAGGUGCGCUGGCUUUAUAGAAUGCCGUUAUAUUGAGCGUUUUUUUUUUGUUUAUGGUAGUGUGUGAGAUUCUUUACGGUGUUUGUGUGUGUGUGUGUGUGUGUGUGUGUGUGAGAGCCCAUUCUAAUAAUAUAAAUACGAAAGAGGAAACAACUAAGGGCUUGACAGCAGUUAAUAAACAGUUAAAUUCACAAGAACUUAUUGUAUCA
ensembl:lncRNA histone-lysine N-methyltransferase ASH1L-like